UACGUAGGGGGCAAGCGUUAUCCGGAUUUACUGGGUGUAAAGGGAGCGUAGACGGUUCGGUAAGUCAGAUGUGAAAGCCCAGGGCUCAACCCUGGGACUGCAUUUGAAACUAUCGAACUAGAGUACAGGAGAGGUAAGUGGAAUUCCUAGUGUAGCGGUGAAAUGCGUAGAUAUUAGGAGGAACACCAGUGGCGAAGGCGGCUUACUGGACUGUAACUGACGUUGAGGCUCGAAAGCGUGGGGAGCAAACAGG
rnacentral:rRNA from 1 species